rnacentral:rRNA from 1 species
UGGGGAAUUUUGGACAAUGGGCGCAAGCCUGAUCCAGCCAUGCCGCGUGCGGGAAGAAGGCCUUCGGGUUGUAAACCGCUUUUGUCAGGGAAGAAAUCUUCUGAGUUAAUACCUCGGGAGGAUGACGGUACCUGAAGAAUAAGCACCGGCUAACUACGUGCCAGCAGCCGCGGUAAUACGUAGGGUGCAAGCGUUAAUCGGAAUUACUGGGCGUAAAGCGUGCGCAGGCGGUUUUGUAAGACAGAGGUGAAAUCCCCGGGCUCAACCUGGGAACUGCCUUUGUGACUGCAAGGCUUGAGUGCGGCAGAGGGGGGAUGGAAUUCCGCGUGUAGCAGUGAAAUGCGUAGAUAUGCGGAGGAACGCCGAUGGCGAAGGCAAUCCCCUGGGGCCUGCACUGACGCUCAUGCACGAAAGCGUGGGGAGCAAACAGGAUUAGAUAGCCCUGGUAGUCCACGCCCUAAACGAUGUCAACUGGUUGUUGGGAAGGUUCCUUCUCAGUAACGUGAGCUAACGCGUGAAGUUGNCCGCCUGGGGAGUACGGCCGCAAGGUUGAAACUUAAAUGAAUUGACGGGGG